rnacentral:piRNA from 1 species
UGCACCCAUGUAUGUGAAUUCUCCCUUGCCU